rnacentral:rRNA from 1 species
AAUCAACGCUGGCGGCGCGCCUAACACAUGCAAGUCGAACGAGAACGGCUUCAGCAAUGGGGCCUAGUACAGUGGCGAACGGGUGAGUAACACGUGGGUGAUCUACCCUCAAGUGGGGGAUAACCCGGGGAAACCUGGGCUAAUACCGCAUAAUAUCCGCAAGGAUCAAAGGAGCAAUUCGCUGGAGGAUGAGCCCGCGGCCGAUUAGCUAGUUGGCGGGGUAACGGCACACCAAGGCGCUGAUCGGUAGCCGGUCUGAGAGGACGCACGGCCACACUGGAACGGAAACACGGGCCAGACUCCUACGGGAGGCAGCAGUGGGGAAUCUUGCACAAUGGGGGAAACCCUGAUGCAGCGACGCCGCGUGGGUGAUGAAGCUCUUCGGAGUGUAAAGCCCUUUCGGCAGGGAAGAGAUAAGACGGUACCUGCAAAAGAAGCCCCGGCUAACUACGUGCCAGCCGCCGCAGUAAAAC